GAUGAACGCUGGCGGCGUGCUUAACACAUGCAAGUCGAACGCUGAAGCCUGGUGCUUGCACUGGGUGGAUGAGUGGCGAACGGGUGAGUAACACGUGAGUAACCUGCCCUUGACUUCGGGAUAAGCCCGGGAAACUGGGUCUAAUACUGGAUAUGACUUCCUACCGCAUGGUGGGGGGUGGAAAGAUUUAUCGGUUGGGGAUGGACUCGCGGCCUAUCAGUUUGUUGGUGGGGUAAUGGCCUACCAAGAUGUCGACGGGUAGCCGGCCUGAGAGGGUGACCGGCCACACUGGGACUGAGACACGGCCCAGACUCCUACGGGAGGCAGCAGUGGGGAAUAUUGCACAAUGGGCGCAAGCCUGAUGCAGCGACGCCGCGUGAGGGAUGACGGCCUUCGGGUUGUAAACCUCUUUCAGUAGGGAAGCAGCCCUUUUAGGGUGACGGUACCUGCAGAAGAAGCGCCGGCUAACUACGUGCCAGCAGCCGCGGUAAUACGUAGGGCGCAAGCGUUAUCCGGAAUUAUUGGGCGUAAAGAGCUCGUAGGCGGUUUGUCGCGUCUGCUGUGAAAGCCCGGGGCUUAACUCCGGGUGUGCAGUGGGUACGGGCAGGCUAGAGUGCAGUAGGGGAGACUGGAAUUCCUGGUGUAGCGGUGGAAUGCGCAGAUAUCAGGAGGAACACCGAUGGCGAAGGCAGGUCUCUGGGCUGUUACUGACGCUGAGGAGCGAAAGCAUGGGGAGCGAACAGG
rnacentral:rRNA from 1 species